UGCCGACAGGGACCCGGGUGCUACAUUUUUUCCUUUUCUUUUUCUUUCCUUUGUUAUGAAUUCUUUGUGUGAAUAUUAUGAGCCACUCAGAAGUAGUAUGGUAACGCACAGUGGUUACGAAAUCACGACAUAAAGUUCGAAACAAAUCUGAAAGUCAUAUCGUGGCUACAAAAAAUAUUUAUACAUAGUUGUAUUUAUCGGGGAAUUUAUAAAUGCUAAUUAAUUGGAUUCAAAUACAUCAACACUGAAACUACUGCCGUAAUACAUGUACCUAAAUUUUCUGUAUAGAAAUCAGUAUAAUUCAAAUGGUAUUAAGUAACGUAAACAGACUUAUUAUGGAAUCUAGAAUCUCUCAUAGGUUUAAUAUGGAAAUAUAAAAAAAUAUAUAAUAUAAAUAUAUAGAAACGCAUAGAAAUAUGGAAAUAUGGAACACUACAAUAUCUCGGCAAGUAACCAACAAAAUCAAUCGGCAAUAGCAUAAAGUAUUUUUAAAAGCAAAAGACAAGCAUAGUCACGUUUGAGUUUUGCUUGAAAAUCUGUCGUUGAAUGCGACUGACUCUUGUACUUAAAUGCGUAUCAAAGUACUGGAGAGACAAGUCAAAUAGCGAAUAUGUAUUAAUUUCGUUGUGUUUUAACGUUAGUUUCAUUGAAAGGAAGUAUGUUCGUCUUUCUGGGAAGCUUUUCGAAUCAGGUGCGUUCCGUAUUAGGUGCAGUUACCCUAAUUAUAUCUCUGUUUAAAUGAAAAUCAAUAUUAAUUUUGCCAAAAAUAUUUGUAUGUGUUCGAUAAUUGUAAAAAAAAAGAGAAAAUCCGAAAUUUGCCAUUUUGUCGCGUUUGGUUGGUUUUAGCGUUUAACUUCGUCCCUUUUAGUAACAGUUUCACAGGACUACAAAUAGUUGACGCGGUGAAGUAAAAUACAGGACCUGCCGGAAACGUUUCAUUGGAAAAUACGAAUAUGUAGAAAUACUUUUCGUCGAUCGAGGUUCUAGAUCUUUUGUAAGCACCUAGGUCAGAAAAGUAUUUAUGCAGUCAAUUGUCUGUUAUAUCAAUAAAUAGAGCGCCGAUGUUAAUGCAUUUGUGGGAUACAGAAAUGCACAGUGCACAUGUAAUAUGCAGAACUGAAUAAAAUAUAUAAAGUACAAUACUCGUUGCAAUAUUAAAUAUUACAACGAUUGUAAUAAUUAAAUAUCAUAAUAUCGAAACGUAGAAAUCUAUGUAGAUUCGUAGGUUAUUUUAGCUAUGUAAAAAUAUGAAAUUGCAUAUUUAAUACCUAUUGUAUGCUUAAGACGAUCGUUCAUGCUACGCGAAUAAACUAAAUAAAUUUUUGCUGUAACUGCUCCUCAACUUCUAUAUUCAUUUUCAGAUUUGUUUCAAACUUCACCAGAACAAUCGUGAUAAUCCUGACUUGUCACAGUACCAAUAAAACUGCAAAAUGUUUUAUGUAACACACGCACACAUGACAUAUGCGUAAAAUUCUUCUAUCGCAAUUGGUCAAAUAUUUACAUACAUAUACUACCAAAUCCUCCAAAAUAACGCUGUGUGAUGACGUGAAAAGUAAUUCAACCUAUAGCAGCUACAAAAUGUAACGUUGCAUUCCUGAUUAAUGAAACGCAACGUUGGCCUUUGAGUCGAUUAAUCAAUGAAAUUAAGCAACCGCUGUAUUCAAUACUUGAAUUUCCUGUUGUCUAUGCUGAUGGCUAAACAAUUUUGUAAGUCUAAGUCGGACAUGCAUGGUAUGCGGAAGAACGUUUACGAAAGUCAUCGAAGCGGAAGCGAUGGCCACAUGUCGGUAGAUUAUUGUGUAUUUAAUCAAAAAGGCCUUGAAUCGGUGUCAUAGGUCAUAGGUCAGGUUGAUCGUUGUCGGCAGGUUUUUCAUGGAUUAGAGACAGACAAACUUGAGAUCCAGUUUAAUUAAAGCGGAUCAAAAUGAUCAUUACUUGUAUCAUGUCUAUUCUUACUUACAUCUGUCAUAAAAGAUAUAUAUUCAAAAACAAUAUCUUACGACAUCUCCUACUUAUAUUAUGAUUCAUAUAGGAAGUAAUUCAUAUAUCCUAAGACGUUUCCUACUUAUAUUGUGAUUCAUAUAGGAAAUAAUUCGUACGAUUUGUUUUAUCGCAGAUGAUUUGCAUUCUUCAAAAUUAGAGGUUUAUCUAGAAGAUAUUUGUUGCAAAAUUUAUUCGCUAAAUUCAUUAUCUGCCUAGAUUCAACAUUAGUAUCUUUAGCCUUUGAUUCCCAGAUCCAUGGUUUUUUUUUAAGUGGAACAAAACAAUUUGAAAUUGACAAUUUAUGGGCCAUCAUAAAAUUAUACAAAAUUCGUAUUCGUACUAUUUACAGUAGAUAACGUUGCUUACUAAAUGUAGAUUAUAUUGCUAAAUGAUAACAUUUUGUAUUUGAGAGUUAAUAUAAUACUACAAUGAGAUGAAUUCGAAUAGGUGUAAUCAUAUUUCUAUCUUAACGACAGGCACUAUUAAUUUUGACAAGAGCUUAUGCGUGUUCUUAGAGUUGAAAAAAAUAACAUGCAAUUACAGAAGGAAAAGAUCUAGUCUUAAAAAUGCACGAAUGUCAACGUAUCAGCCUUCAGCGAACAGAACGAAGUACAUUAGCGCGAACGCACGAGCUCAAUUGAAAUUAAUUGCGUCAGCAAAUAAAUAAACCGAGACACUUCAACGUAUAAAUUGGCAUCCAUUGGACAGCCUGCUGGGAGAGAAGAAGACGUCUGGCGUUACUUAACACGAUGACUCUACUCUUCGUGUGGAAGUUCUCUGAUUCCGUAACGGAGCGAAAGUAAAGGCCAAGGACACAGCUCAAGUAGUAGAGGGAGGUCAGUGUUCGCCGGUGUCGAUCUUCCACCGCGUCAGCAUGCUCCGCUUUUGACAGGAAAUGGAAAAAUAAGACGAUCCGUUUCUAUGUUGCUCGCCAACUUAGCGAAUAUCGUCCUGUGUUUCGCACGUGAACCAUUCAGAAAGAAGAUCUUCCACGUUUCUACUCGUCUUUCUCCGAAUCUUAGUACGUUGAGUGUCUUGGUAGUCAUCGGUGACUCAAGUUACUAAAUUGUUUGUAGUGAUUAAUAUUUAAUAUUUGAUGAUAUUUGUAGAGAAAGGUGAGCAAAUAUAACAGAAGAUUCUGCGAAGAUUAAACCGUACGGUGUAGUAUAUUUCAAUUUGUCGCUACUCACGGGGUAAAAUGUAUAAAAUUCGUAUGGCAGUCGACCUGUUGAAACAAACCAAUCUGAACCUCUUAAUUAAUAAUAAAAUAAUAUAACGUUAGUAUAAUGCAGCAUCGAGUUUGAAGAUAAAAUUCGAUUAUUUUUACUCGAUGCUCCGUUGCGAAUUUUCCCAUUAAAAAUUUCGAGAAGAACGAGUUACCAGAAUCUGAAACAAAAAUUUGAGAAACAUUUAAUAAAAAAGAAGUUGUGGAAUUUUUAAAUGGGGAAUAUAACUUGUGGGCUACCCUGUACGUAAUAUCCAGUAAAAAAAAAUUGCUAAUUUCCUCAUGAGUCUACGAAAAUACCAAUUUAAAAAGACUAUCAAAAAAUUGGAAACGCAGGAACUGUUAACAGAGGCGGCCGAUGGAUUUCCAUUUCGUUUGUUUUUUUUUUUUUUCUUUUUUUCACUUUUUUUCCAUAAACGUAGAACAAAGCGUAACAGUACACCUGUGCUCUUGGCAUUUUUGCAGGCAUCGUGUUUUAUCGAUCUAAGUAGAUAUAGGUGUUCGUAAUGAAAUUGUAUUUUGAAACUUCGAGCAGAUGAUUCGUCACGUGUUCUCGGGCUCGUAAUCAGACCAGCAGCGUUAGAAUUCGAAUACGAGAGUCGCGACUAAUGUUAUGUCUCAAGUAACUUUAGCAUGAAAGAUAGUUCAUCAUUUUCAACAUUCUUUCCUAACACGACUUAGAUAAAUAAUUUUUUAUGUAAAAAUGAAUUUCUUCUUAGUUAUCUCUAAAAUUAUCUUUGAUAUUCCUAAUA